UCCUUUCCACGCGAGCAGCAGCGCGAGUGUCUUGCCAGGCGUCCACCGAGAAGGGUCGACAGCGUGGCGCCAGGGUAGUGUGGUCGUCGCCAGCGUCGCAGUUGUUACGUUUCGUGACGAACGUUUUUCGUGCUGGAACCAGUUUGUCACUAGCGCCAGUGGUCACUAGCCUUGUAGCCAGCAAUUACGAUUUAUGCUGGCCAAUCAAUGGUUGUGCCUGCAACGUCCAAUGGGGUUCAUACUUGCAGCGCAACAAAGAAACAACUACGUGACCUUUUGCGCGACCACCACCAAUCAACCUAUGUUGCUGGCCCUGUUGGCAGGACACUUGUCUGAGGAUGGUCCCUAUUCAGACUUUGAUAAGGUAGCGUGAGGCUUCUGCUCUGCUACCCCUAGCAAUAAUGAUCGCGGAUUGAUUGAUGAUCUUAUUGCAGCGUUGUGUUCAGCGACGGAUGCACGAUACGUGCACUAUUACUGUUAUACUUCCGCACAUUUGUGAUGACCAUGGUGCGUUUUUUUACGGAUCGUGCUUCGAAGGAAGUAUUGAGAACGUUUCGAUCGAGGCUUCGAUUAUUUGCAACAUAGCAACAUCCGGGACUGGUAUUAUUUGAAUCGCUGUUAUCUCCCAAAAGGAGAGUUCAUUUUUGGUUAUCUUCGAAUUGUUUUGUGCAUAUAUUUAUGGGCUACUAGCAAAUUAAUCGAGAAUGGUACAUGCAGCUGCAUAUCAAUCGCGUCACCAUACUUACUCUGGUAGUUGUGUUGUGUUGCAUGAUGAUGAUGAUGAUGCUGAUGUUCCCAGGGAACGAGCAUAAUGCAUUGUAUACAGGACCUCUAGCCUCGUUAUCGCCAUCGGGCUAUCCCGCAUUGUGCGCAAAGUAUUGCUGUAUAGUAAUGUACAUUGCUGGUUAUUAACAUAUGUUUCAAUUCAGAUGCAUUCACUAUUUUUAGCAAAGUAACUAUGAAUUGGGUUCAACUAUCCGCACCUAGUGCGUUGAUGGAUUGUUGUAGCAUUGUUUGGAGUGUCACGAUACGUGCCUUGCAUGUACAGAAAUCUUCUACCACAACGCACACAUCGAGCAAGUAACGGGAUCGCCUGUUCAGUGGUUAACUGUAUUGUUGAACAUCCUUUUCGUCAGUUUGUUUUUUUCCUGUUCGUGCAUAAUCGGAACAUAUCAAACAAUGUGUAUCCUGGUAGUAAACCGUAAAUCGAGUGGCACGAUUAGCUAGCCUUUCAUCCUAAGGAGUUAGUACUUGAACUACCGAUCCUAAUGCUAUUACAUUUCACCAGCAAAUUUCUAACGCCACGGGACUAUGCCAAUUUUCCUCUUUCGUUACCCAAUAACUGCUUGUUUAUUUCAGACUCACUCUUGUUAGUACCAUUUGCAGAAACUCUCUCGUUGCGUUAUGUUACCCGAUGUGUGAUGAACGAUUUGGUGUUUGGAAUUCGGGCAUAGUGUACCUGUUUGACUUACACAUCCAACGUUGGCUUUUGCAGUUGCAGUUGCAAUGUUUCGGUAACAGUUUGCAGAAUGUGGUGCUUCUUUCUGUUUGUUUCUGUAGUUGUGUGUGCUCUAACCAAUCUUCUACAUUUGUUCGUCACUGUGAAUUGCGCUUCUUUUCAUUUCUUUGGAGCUUCCCGAUAUUGAAACCAAUACGCUACGACGAAAGAGAGCGUAGAAGAGUGAGUGAAGGAGAGUGGGUGAGAUAGAGAGAGAGAGAGAGAGAGAGUGUAUGUAGGUUUGUACAAAGCCUGGCCACAUCAUCCCUGGGUAAAUGUAUCUGCGAAAACUACCAACUACCUAGCAGCUUGCUCUGGGCACUCUUUUUUUUCUUUCUCCACUUUCUGUCUUUUUCAAAAGCUUACACUUGUAACGGAACUAUGCGGUUAUAAGGCACAUGUAUUGGGUCGAACGAACCAUAAAACGAAACCCGAAUCGGACGACCAACCAUAACCAACCACACCACAACACAGCGGAGAGCGGAAUCGAUUGCAAAUGAAGGCCGCGUAGAAAUUGGGGCUGAUAACCAUUGUAGCAUGAGCACGGCAAAAAAAAGGAGCAUUGCGUUUCAUUUACCGGUAGGCUGUAGCGUGUACAAAACGAUGGGACAACAGGCAAAUUGUUUCUUGCAGAUGAGCGAUACCAAAACAGUAGCCUGGCAACUGGCGGACGUCCUACGAAUGGGGGUGCUUCACUAUUUUAACCAAUCAUCAGUGUAGCCAAGCGACAUGCACCUUGCUAGCAAAUUGAUACCAAAGCAUAUCGCAACCAUACAGCGACAAAUUGAUGGUAAGCGCAUUAAUCCGAGGAUUCUAUCGAUUGUCAGCACGCAUGGCAGCCCCGUUUUACAUGCUACCAAUGCGGUGAUGGACGGGUUUUGCUACCGGAAACCUGGCAGAGGAAAUCUGAGAGAGAACCCAUGGAUGGAACACAAACAGAGAAAACUCCCAUUAUCCUUGGAGCGAACGGCGAAUGUUCUCGGUGACAUGCUUUUUAAUGAUUCAGAGGGAAAAAGUGGGUGUUGGGCGAUGGGAGGGAUAACAAGGGGUGAACGAUUAAAAUUGCCUGUGGUGUAUUCCGAAGCAUUCUAGCCGACACUCACUGCGGUCUGAUCCAUCGAUCGCGGACUAUGGCCGGUGCCGACUACUGAGAUGAAAAUGAAGACGAUGAUGCUUCGAUGAUGCUUUCGUGCAAUCGGCACCUGGCUUGCGGAGUACGAUGCCGUCUACGCCAAUCGCAGGAACCGCAGUGGCCGUUUCUAGUGGAUGUCUCUCGUAGUUUUCCGUUUUCGCGAUCUGGAACACAAUUGGAAUGGUUUGGCGGAUGGCGGCCGGUGGUGAAUGCGCGGUUUGGGGCGCUCCUGUUUCCUGUGUUGCGCCAAUCCAAUGGCAAGGGGGGGGGGGGGGGGGGGAGAUCCCGCAGCCAUCAUCAACAGCAGCAACCGAUCCACCUCGGUUCGCUGAUGCUCUUCGCCUAUCGGAAAUGCUCCCUUGCGUUGCAGCGAGCCUGAGCCGCGGUACAUACCGCCUGCCAACGAUACCGAAAAAUCGCCAAAAAGGGGUUCCCUUUUUUGUAGCUGGGCCAGUGUAUGCGGCCGCGCAUGUGCACGAACUUACACUUUAUGACCAAAAACCCCCAGGCAAGCGUGAAGAGGAUGCAGCAAGUCGCGCGAAAAUGGGACAUCUCUUUUGUUUUUUUUUUGUUUUGGGACGUACGUUCAAUGCCCAGGCAGUGGCUUUUGUGUGGGCUUUUGUCCAAUCUACGAACGUUAAAUGCUCGGCAAGCGAGAAGAGUCCACGGCAGUUUGGACGGCAAGCGAGAAGCGAGCAGCCGGUGUAACCAGCGUUGUAACUUCAUUCCUAGUCAAACGCCAUACCAUGAUGGAACGAAAUUUUAAGACAAAUCAACAUGACAACAAGGAAGACUGAAACGCCAGUCCUUAAAGGACGCCUUAAGGAUGUUGUGGCUUGAGCGGCAGUAUUGUUUCUAAACCACAAACUGUCAAGCUGCGGCGCUACCGCAAUGCCGAAAGCGUGCACUGAAUCAUUUCGCUGAAAUGGAAACUAAGAGGAAGAUAAAAACAAAAGAGAAUCGAACGAAGCGACAAAGAGUUACAAGGACACGAGGGAUAGUGGGUGGGUGGGUGGAGGGGGAGAGAAGCAAGAUUCAAUUCAAAGCAUCCGGCAUUCACUCUCGAUAGUAGUAUCUCACACGCCCCGAAUAACGAGCAGCGAUAGAGAGAAAUCAAAACGAACGAAGGGCCAGUUGCUGCCACUAAGCUGCUCCUUUGUCUAAAAGAGAUUCAGUAUGUGAGUGUGUUUGUGUGCGUGUUUGUGCGAAUGCAUCUUGUUCCUACUACCAACCCUGUUUUUACUGACUGAUUUCAUGCUGCCUACACCAAACGGCCCUCCCUAUCACCUGGUACCUGGCCACCCCCUAUCCCCUCCUGGUUUGGUGGGCGUUAGGUGAAUGCCAUUAGGUGAAAGGGGGAUAUUUUUGCAUUCAAUUCAAUUCCAAUAAAAUUUACUGCCAUUUACUUCCAAAACGAAACCGCUCUUUUUUGUUUGUAACAAAAAAAAAGAAAAAAGAAAGCACUCUCACAAUUGGAACCAAAGCACGAACGAACGAACGAACGAAGAAAAGCCCCAAUAAUGCCCAGUGGUUUGUUUGUUGUGCCGUGUUCACCUGGCGCCUGUCUGGCGCCUUGUGCCGGCUGUGGCUCAGGAUUUCUUGCAUUUGUGUGACCCUCAAUAAACCGGGGUCCACGCACUGGACAAGGGAAAUGAGAGCCGGUAUGCAAACAGAUAAUUCUGCAUUAUACUCGUAGUGCAUUAGUAUGCACUAUGUGUAAUGUAUUAUGUGAAUUAAUACUAAUCGUGGGCAAGUGGCAAUGAGAGUAGCAAUGAAAGAAGAAUGGUCGCGAGACGCGUUUGCGUGCUGGUGUUUUUUUUUUUUGGCUGUUUGGCGUCCGAAUCUGGUCAACCUUUUUCGAACGUUGACGUGUGAACGUGUGGAAGGGUAGAGUGGAGAGAGCGUGCGGCCCAUCAAUGAGGUCGAAAGGGAUGUGAGUUGAUGCGAGAUUUAACGAUCCAUUUAGGGCGCGAUAAGCAUGGCUGGAGUAAUGGCGCGCGAGCGGCUGUACAACGCGAGAGAGUCCAAUCUAAGUGAGGCACAACGCGGGCUGAUAUCGGUACGUAAACCGAUCGGCACAAGCCGGAAAGACGUCCUACGAAAUACCAAGAACAGCGUAAUAAGCGCGCGCGUGCGCAUCGUCCGCUCUAGCUUUGCCAACGACCUCAAUUACUAAUGAUUCUGGUGCACGAGAAUAGAAACGUAGGCAGGCGACAGGUGCGUGUCAAAAGGAAAGAGGGCCAGGGCAACCCGCCGUCUAAAUGCCGAGGAGUUCUGUUGCGAUUGGCUGUGGUUCGUGGGGGGUAGCCGCCGCGCUGCCGUGGGUGUACGCGUCGUUUCGUGAUGCUUCCUGUCAUCACUGCCAUCGAUCAGCGAGCCGCUAUCACAAAACGCAAGGUUUCAAUCAAGCAGUGUUAAUUGCGUGGAAGGCUUAGGGAUCUCCUCCGGCACCGUGCACGGAGAGACGGAUUCGGGAGUCGGCGCAGGACCCCCGUUGGUUGCGUGGCCUGCUGGCUGCUGGUUCCCGCGGUCGGUCGGUCGGUCGGUCGGCCCCGUGACCCGGCCCCGGUCGCAACCGGGUAUGCCCGCCGAUUUCCCGGCUGAUCCGUUCGUCACUGCAAAAGAUCCACCCGUACCCGGUUUUAUUACUCUUUUUUAGUGUUCGUGCCUGAUCUGGAGAGAUUUAACGCGGGUUCGCGCGUGCAGUCUGGCGCGAUGAAGCGUUGCUAAAACAAACAAAACAAAACAAAACGAAACGAAACGCAAAAAAAAAAACAAACGAAAAGAAAGAGAAAACGAAACCUGCAAACCUGCAAACAAACAGAAUACGCAUAUAUAUCCCCACAAUGGACUCAUUUCUCUCUUACUCGAUCUAUCUUUAAGCUUCAAUCCUACUACUAUAUAUAGAUUUUACGCAACGCCUGUCGCCGACCAACACCACCAGUACCUGUCCAAUGUUUACUAGAUUUUAAGCAGUGAGCUCGAUCAAAGGAACCACUUUCGGCCUACUGCGCCAUCAGCGUAGGUCCGGUUUUAGGUGGGGGGGGGAGUGGAGGAUGGUGCCGUGAUCGAUGCGCAGGCGCACACCCACCCGGCAUCAGCGAGCGCUGAUGCCACCGUGGGUUGCGCUGCCCCGAAUCGGGCCAAUCGGCAGGAGAUACGUGCGACAGCAUUUGGCCGGCGGCCAGUAGGGUAGCCACGUUUGAAGGCAGCUCGAUAGUUAGAUAGCGAUGAACAGGAAGCAACCUCAUUGCACCUCCCUGCAAAGCACAGCACGGCCCGAGCUAGGCGCCGAGAUGUUGCGUGGUUCCCGGUCGCGAUGGAACCCGGUGUUCUACCCGCCCCAUUCCCGCCAGUGUCCGCGGACCCGCCCUAACCACUUUUUGGAGGGCCCACAACCCGUUCGUUGUUUUUUUUUUGUUGGUUGCUGUUCGCUCCAUUGCAUUUCCGUUUUCGUAUUUUUUUCCUUCCAAAACAAAACCUUUCAACACCCGGUGUGCGUGUGCGUGUGUGUGUCCGUGUUGAGAAGGACAUAACCAUGUAAUUCCGCCCACUUCACUGUCCUGCAGCCGGUUUCGCGCGCGUGUGUGGAUCGCGGAAGCGGUGCUCGCGCCUUUCGUUUCGCACGCCGGAACGGAACGGAACGAAAGCGGCGACGCACGCAUUGCACGUAGAGCACCGCCGCGCGGUCCAUGACUGUGAUCCUGCCCAGCCCCGUCGCCGAACGAGACAGAGAGAGAGAGAGAGAGAGAGAUACGCGCACCACAAAUCCACCACGUGUCAACGUAAUCGUGAAGCUAUGCAGCCAUAGCUGAGCAUUGAUUGCACUCUAUUCUCCAGGGCCAGGUUUCGGGGCAGGCCCGGUCUGGCGCGUUCCGAAUGUGGCGGGUCGGGGCGCCGGGAUCUGCAGCCUGGUUUGCCCUCGGAAUUCCCUCGGAACCGGUUUGGCGGCCGGUGCACCACCAGCUCUCGGAUGGCGAAUAGCGAUUCAUGGCAGAUUCCAGUAGUUUCCUUACCCUAGAUUGAUCAGCCAGAGAGAGAGAGAGAGAGAGAGAGAGAGAGAGAGAGGGA